GUUUUCGUGGCGAAGGGGUCCAAGAAGGGGGAGAGAAGUAUGGGUUUGUGGAGUUGGGGAGAAGAGAGAGGAGGGAAUCGGUAGAGAGGCUUAGGGCGGAUAGGCGGAGGGAAGGGUUGGGGGCGCCGGAGGCGGAGACGCCGGCUACACGAGAGGAGCAGCCAGCUUUUGGGACUUCCACUCCGUGUUCACUCUUUAGGGCUAGCCUCUACCGUCGCCGCCGCUACCGUCGCGUGUCCCGGUCGAAGGGCGACGCCGACGUCGUCUAGGACAGACCGUCGGCGCGGCACAGCGGCCGCUAGUUUCAGCUCAGNNNNNNCGGUCGUUUUCAAUUUCGUAAAUAACUAGCACAUUAGUUAUAAGGUGAUGUACUGUAACGGUAUGGUGAUAGUCCGAAGGUAACCCUCAAGUUAUUCCCUUUAAAAGUGGUAACCUUCGGAGACAAAUACGUAAAACUAUGCAUAAAGUUCUGUAUGUAGAGAAGAUCUUUCCUAGAAGAGAACAGACUACUAUACAGACUCUCACUUGGCAACUGUUUUUUAUGGUAGAAUGUUUAGAACUCUCAAUACGUUUAACACAACCUUUUAACGGUCUUGUUUUGUUGAAAACGACCGGAACUCGUAAAAUUCUUAGACAACCGUAGUAGUCUAGGACUCCAUCAACAACGCCGAAACCUUUGAGAACGAAGUCACCACUUUUAUUUAGGAAGUUUUGAUGUAUACUUACCCUUUGACUAGUCGACACCUCGAUAUUUAUCGGUAGAAGAUAGUAACCGGGUUCCUACCCCAUCGUUCCUCCUUCCAGAUCCGAACAUAAGGACACAACACCGUUUACUCGCUUUGGUCGACCUCCCAAACACGAAUAAGGGUCGUCUGUACCUCUUGUUUAUACUACCGUGUGUCGUAGCAGAACCCAGGUGAGAAGUAAAACUCAUAUUAAACCGUGGACAGGUUCUAAGACUGGUUCGGUUACUGUUCAGUAGAUUAGAGACACACUAUGUAUACGGUCUGGACGUGGAAGCCUUCCUCCUACUGAACUCGUAUAACUUCGUUACAUAGCUGUUCAAAUUACACGGAGGUCUCGUGGCCAAACGGAACAAAUGUUCCUAUUCUAUACGUGUACGAAAAUUAAGAGGCUCCUGUACGUCCGAUAUAUCGGCGUAUUCAGAGGAAAGAAAGUAACAAGAGCACGUUAGGUCACUACGGGUACUACUCGACUGUAGCAAGAAGUGUUUACUCGGCCUCAUGUAUUUACUCAAUUAGGCCGAACAAGCCAGUCUUCUAUAACAAGGACCCGGGUAAGCACGUAACCGAUACGAACGUGACCCUCGUGUCAAUCGUCGUAUACGUAGUAGAGUACUCGCUCGAUCCUAUGACUCGCCAAGUUCAUAGUAGAGACGACCACCUUUGGCGUACCAGAACGAGUCACAAGACGUCUUUCGUUAUAGCAGGGAGUCAUCGGGAUUACUAUGAAGUAGAGGAAAUUAACAACUACGGGAAGAUGUCAAGAAAAACGAAGUACACGACAGUAGAAGCUCAAGACCCUGCUGGCAAUCCCCAAGUCCCUACCAAGGUGGAGAGGACGGAGAGGACGUUCUAUUCCUAGGAAGGGUGUACGUAGAACAGACAAACCGUCAUUUCUGGGAAGUCUUCGACUACCUCAUGUCGUCGGGACGACAAAGGGACAAAUUUCUAAACCCACCACAUCUUGAAAACAGAGUCUCCAAUGUACACCUCCACGUCGCACAAUAACCACAACGACUUUAAUGAAGUCACCAACGAUCACUAUGUAGCUUUAGUCUUCUACUGGUAGACAUGAGUGUCUUCGCUGACUAAUUCCGAAACGAGUUCCGUAAUCCAAGGCGAUGUAUAAGAGGACGCUUAGGACGAGCGAGAGUUUCAAGGUUACUAUUGAGAAACGGGUACAGUGAAAGGGAAUAUAAGGUCUUACAACCUUUCAAACCACCACUAUAUAUGAAGAGAAGUCAAUGACAAUACUCACUCUAUUAUGUAUUCCUAGGAUGUACGAAAGGACGAAACUUCCUUGAACCAGAAGGACUACGAAAGGACAGUAGUCACUGACGACCCCGCUAUGGUAGAACAUUUCGUGAAUAUACACAUGGGUUACCGGACCCGCGUUAGACGGAAUUAUUGGUUCCUGAACUCAGACAGUCCCUUUGAAGUCGCGACGCAAAAGAACAUCUCUGCAAGUGAUCAUCCUUUAUAAACUAUGGUUACUUACUUCCACAACAAGAAAAUCGUUUACGUCACCUUCUCGAAGAAGCAGUACACGUCAGGGAAUCUUCAUGACCACAACUGUAGUAGUAACUUUAUUAGUUGUUUGAAAGAACAGGAGCACCACUAUUUUAGUGACUUCGUCGGUCGCGACUUCUUUUUUGUCUAUACCUUUGUCUACAACUUCCCGCACUAAAUCAUUCACGGUACCUAAGACCGUGUCUACCUUGAUUACUACUCGUCAAAAGAGUAAACUCGUAAAAGGUACAAUACCAUAACCACGUGUCCUGUUACCUUUUGAGUCUUUGAACGUCCGACAAACAUCUUUUCCCUCCAGAUGUCUGAGACAACUGUGAGAACGACGCUGGAUGGUAGUGGGUUAGAAGACCACCCUACGGAUAACGAAACGUGUCGUGAUACCAUAAAUUCCCGAAAUGAGUUGUCGUAAGAUGAGGUGAACGCGCACGUAAAACGAGGAGAAAUUUCCUCGUGAACUUCUUACGGGAUGUCCUUGAACUAUGUCAAAAAUCCAGUACACUUCACUGAUUCAACCUUUUUCCUCGGUAAGGCAGUGAAAAAUAACAACUUAAAGACGAUAAGGAUCGCCGUAGUUUUCUGUUGGCGACCUACUUACGAGAUGAGAGUCUUAAACCUCUACAGUCGUCCCUACAGGACCUUCUAUAACCUUCUCAAGUGGCCCUUCACGAAACCGUUUAAAGUGAAAAACUACUCUUCUUUUAUCUCGGACUUCGGUCAAGAGGAAGUCGUUUACUCCGGGUCGUUCAACUACGACGACACCCGCUGUGACCACUAUUGUCUAUGUGGAGGAAAUCCGUUAUAGAACUAGGAGAAAAUUCCGCUGCCCCGAGACCCACCUUGUAACUCAGAGUCCACAGACUGGAAUAGUUAUAGAUAGCACUAUACCCGGCACGUCGAUCGCUGAGAGUGUCUCAACCACGACUAUCUAUGGGAUCAUGUCCCAACGGGAGUUCAAGGGUCCUAGUCGGUAGGUCAAGUAGACUACGUUUACGCUUCAGUCUUCUCCUGUUCUUUUCUAGACUCGUAAACAGGACGACACUGUACUACUCCAGUGAAAGAAUGGUAUAAUUGGUAGACAAAUACCUCGAACCCUUUCGUUACGACGAAUGUAGAGCGGCACUCUUGUCAGGAUAUUUAGAUAGAGGUAGACAACACAGACAACGAUCGUUAUAACGAAGAUAGCACAACCUCGUGGAGUUAAAACUCCCCGUAUGUUAGUCAGGUCUCUCCCUCUAAUGACAACGAUGUUUCACGGCUAUGGAACCUUUCCAACAACUCAAAUAACUACCCUAUAACAACCUGUCUGGUCUUAGUACAUUAGGUUAGUACCACUUAAGAAAAAUAACGGCACCACAUUAAGUCCGAUAGAAUUGGUGUAAACUUCGAUGGUCGCUCAACGAAAAGCGUUACUUGUCCGGUGGGAGCAGUGGAUACCUCUGACUAUCAUUUUGACCCUUCCUUCUCUUCCUACGACUAACAAGUACCUAAAUACCGGGGGAAAGGUCGAUACCACGUCGAUACCUGGUAGAACAUUGUAGUAGUAAAUAAGAAAGAAGUAGCUGUUCUGUUGAUGAACUCGUUGGAUAAAAAUCACCUUGACAGUCCAAAGGUGUUCUACGUCUCUUUAAGUACUUCAACGAAGUUAGAUUUCAGAAUUUCUGACAAGAAGGGUAUACCCGGGUAGGUGUCAAAGGUCUUACGUUAGAACUCGAUUAGUCAAGUCAGUGUAGCUAGUACUCCGUACAAAUGAGACCCCAUCUUCAUUUUUUGUUACAAUCGUUGUAACGACGAGCAAACCGACCAGGUGGGGGACUGCUCUUACGUUAAAGGGACUAAUAUCUCUACCCGAAAAGAGCACGUUCUCGACUUCUUCGUAAUUCUGUCCAACCUUGUUUAUCGCAACUCUAGCGCUGACUAACCAACAAGAGUGUGGGCCUCCUUGGUGGUCUCCUACUACUUGAACGAGCUCGAGAACGAUACAGAGAUCCCUUAAGACUAUGUGGACAAGUUCUCCUUCUACUGUCUUGAUUACUAGAACUCGAGCUCCUUCAUUUACAAGUCGAGGGAGGGUACCUACUUCAUAAUAGAAGUACAGAAUCCGACGAUGUCCGUUUCCUUUGUAAUCGAAAAGGACAGGCCCUAUACGAACACUGAUAGUCGAGUGUCUUACUGCCGGUUUUGGCACACUUCCACGAAUGUAUAAACUAACUAGUAGACUUCGUUACAGAACACCGUAGACUAGGAAAUUUCUUGUGACGUGAUAGACGAAAAACGGUACAAGAACGAAACUAAGAGGUACCUCUAUGACGACGAGCACUUCAACGGAGUUUCCGACCAGAACAGUUCCAGCAAAACUCAGACGACACGUCGACCCUCUACCUCGGUUCCCUUCCCGUUUGUUGGUUCCAAGGGUUAACCCAAUGAAGGACAAAGGAAAGACAACUAUCUUACGAGGUCAACCUUGGGUUCAACGGUCUACAAUGACUCGAACUACAAGAGUUUUUCCUAUCAAGUGGAUGUGUUUGUAGACAACACUAACUACUGUCGUUCUUCUUCCAAAGUCUUAGAAGGAGUUCACAUCCCAAUAACCUGAACCUCCUGGUCCUCGUUGAAAACUCCUAUACGACAUUUACGUAAGUCUUCGUCAACGGAAGGCCAUGUUACGUACGAUAAGAAGUCAACACACGAUGUGACUGCUUUCAGGUACACCGACGAUAGUCAAAAGAACUCAGACCACCGGAUGUACGCAACGAUUCAAACGGCUGUUCAUCGAACAAAAGACCUAAGUUGUCACACCAAAGAUGUUAAUAGGCAGUAUAAAACCUCCUAGGGGUAUGAGAAGUCGUUCGAUACCUUAAUCUCUAUGCGGUAUCAGAACAGUGCCGACGAUUAGCCGUACGUUUAGGAGCCCAAUGUGGUGCAUUAAAACAAGUUUUAAACCGCAAACAACAUGUGUCCCUGGGUCACUAUAAAUACUUUCGACGGGUUCGACACACGGUCUAACUCUACCAACCUCUAUCUGGCAUACAACAAGAUAACUUCCUGGCACUCUUCCUUUUCUCGUUCCUUUUUCUCUUCCUAUUCGACCAACUAUUCCUAUUUAGUAGUCCACAACGGUGUUUCUAUUGUAGUCCCCUGUACCAAUACCGUAGAGGACAUUCACGGUUUCCCUUUGUUAGACUAAACUCACAUGCCUUAUACUUUAGAGUAGCGUUCGGUGGUGUUUGGAAACAGUGACAAUAACUCGUAGAUAAUCUAGAUCAUUACAGGAAACAGGGUGGUGUUUCUCGACUCCUGGUUAGACUACCAAGCAGUAGGUACCUGUACCUAUAACUGAGAUCAAGUCGUUUUCCAUUUCCCUUCCGACAACGACAGUGUGUACUUCUCAGGUUCGUUCGUUAGGUUCUACGAUGACGUACAGACCGAUUUUUGCGUAAACAGGAUUUCGACGAGUGUCUACAUGAUAAUUGAAUACGAAGAAGGCAAGUUCAACAAGAAGCGGUACUACGACUCAACUCGUCGUGCGCUCCAGGAUGAGCCUGGUCACCACCUUAUAAAUUAGUAUAUAACGUCGUAAACGAAGGUGUACGAUGUUUCGUUUUCUUUCUUUCUUUCGGACUAUCACUAACCUCCAUGUUUAACCGUUGUUCCCCAUUAGUUAAAAAUCACCGAAGUAGAUAAGCAAGAAGUCUUCCUGCUUUUUCCUAGACAAGACUUUAGACGUCAUAUAAACAACUCAAGUGUCUGUUAAGAUGACCAACGUUUGGAGGUUACAACUCCUACUUACGAAUACAACUAAACGAGUUACUAUAAGACAGUCGAGCGAGCGGUUGCCCGAGGAGUGAAAGUCGUCUUAGACAUCAAUGUAAACAACUCCAACCGGAACAGGUCACAAAUUGCUUUUGGGAAGUCCAAGAACUAAACCUAGUAGGACUAAGUCGUUUCUAACAUUGACCAUAACAGUUCCGAGAACUUCACCAAUGGUUCCUCGUGCAAGUAAAUCGUCUAAAAUUACGAUUUCCCCUCUUGAGUAGUUUCUGACAAAACCUCGUCUUGUUACAUCUAAGUAGUAGUUUAUCUAAGGUCCAAGAACUGUGUUGAAGAGUUGGUUGACGUUACCAUUGACUAGUGUCCCUUUGAAAGUUACGACAAGUACGAGGUUCUUCAAGUCUAAGUCACCGUCUACUCUACCUAGUACUGGCACUAUAUCUACCUCCAAAACGGGUACUACCACUUCUACUAAAAUACGUACUCUAACGACUUCUGUCUUGACCUUUACUCAGGUGUUACCUAUAAGCCAAACUAUAAGGUGCAUUAUCUCUCCUACUAUACCGACUUCUACUUCUACUGUCACUACUUCUAUACAGUCCUCUACUACCACUCCUCCAACUACUUCUACUACUACUACUCCUUUUAUUGUUGGACCUCCUUCUGCUACGGGUAGUCUAUAGAGUACGACUGUGCCUAGUCCUACUGGCACUCUAACUACUUCUUCUUAAACUACUUCUAGACGAUCUUCUUCUACUACUACUACUCCUACUCCUCCCUCAUUAGGAAGCGGAUCUCCUCCCCUAGUUACCUUAAUUACACAAACUGGUAUAACUCCAAAAACCCCCCUCGUUGUUACAAAGACCCCUAUGUGACGCACAUUACGGUAACCUGUAAAAACCGUGUUCUGCCGUUCCGGCAUCAUGUAGAUAUAUGUUAGAAGAACCCUCUCGUUCACUGGUUCCACAUGAACUAGUGGGUGAGAACCUCCUUGGAAGCUACAAUGAAGGUGUUGUCUCCGUUGGUCUUUUAAAUCAACUCUACCGAAAGAGACUAGCCUUAGUACUUUUAUCAAGAAGGGCAAACCUGCGAUAUAAGUCUUCGAACGCUUCACCUGCCUUACCUGUGGCUAAAUUAUACACCGACCUACUACCGGGGGUUGCGUUACCUAGACGACGGGGAUGUCAUGGACUUCCGUAACUUCUUGAAGACGAGAGAGUCAACUCUUCCGGAUGCCGACUUGUAGGACUACUCGUCUCGUGUGGACGACAACUACGAGUUCAUUUGCUAGGAGGGUCAUUAAAGGUACCCAGUCUUUGACUACGUUCCCUUCCUAGUCGUCUUGUUUUACUUUUACUACUAUAAGGACGUCAUUCCAGACUCCACCUACCGAGACGUUCACGACCAGGACGUGGAGGAGUGUCACUACUUGAAGUUUCUCUACGUAGGUUACGUUCACUCGUACAGCGUCUAUACGUUAUACUUGCAUCACUGCGUCGACAGGCACUACACCUUCGUCAUUCGGUUCGUUCGUCACCAUCACCACGAUGAGAUCCCCUUUCGGAGUCUUCAAAUCUACACCUUUAACCUUCACAACUUCCUGUACUACUACCACUGGCCGUACCCCGAAGUCUGUCCUGUGGAGACCCACUACAUGUCCGUCGAUGAGCUAGCGCCUCCGGAAGACCUUUACGUCAUGAUCAGUCGUCGUCCCUGUAUAGUAACCUCUCACAAUCCCUCUAGGGGGUUUUGUGUCAGGUCCUUAGACUAGUCUUACGGUCACUCCCCCUAGUCCUCGGAUUGUCCCGAUGACCCUGACUGAGUUAUCUAGGAUGUAAAAACCUCCGAGAAGGUCUCCUAAAUGCCCGACUUCAAGAAAGAAGUGCAGUUUUAGUUCACUGAGUCUGAAGGUCACUCGUCGGAGUCGUACUACGCCUGUAACUAGGACUUAAGGAACGACGUGACGGUGGACUAUAUGCACUUCUCCAAGAUCGAGUUGUUGCACGGGUUGCCAACGUUGUUGUCAGAGUUCUCGAACUUCCUGUUGGUCAACUUUACCUGCGACAUAGUUAAUAACGUUGGAAGGGAAGCCUUUAUGCUCUCCUCCACGAAAACUGCAGAGGGCUAUGAGAUGAACGAUGUAACUGUGGACGUGAUCAACGACUUCGGUUGUACAACGCACUCUCUAAACGAGUAGCUAUAGUGUCGCCAAGUGAUAAACCGUACUUGAGGUCCUUGUCCUCCCCUCUCAGGAGAGCAGCACCACUAUAGUAACCAAGUCCGGAACUAUCUUUAUGACCACUAAGCAGGGCAGUUUGCCGGUCGUUCAAUUAACUUUGACAUCCCUGAGGAGAACAACUGUUCCUACGAGAGUUACGAGAAUAUGCUAAUGAAGCUCAACAGGUCGGAUAUAUGUUCCCGGUCGACGUCUCCGAAGAGAACUUGGAAACACGAGUGGCCCUUUCGUCUUUCAGCGACCAAGUUUAAGACCACCUGUACGAAUACGAACUAGACGUCCCGAGAAGAUUCUUUAGUUAACUACGUUGUCUCGGCAGUAAAUCCGAUAUACCCACGGUACGUUUAUAGUGUAUAAGUGCGGGAGUUAGGAGUCUACCACACGGUGGUGACCAAAGAGCGGCACACGACCUUUGAGACUGUAUGGACCGUUCUUUAGUAGGUUUACACCGAUUCGAGAAUGAGAAAGAAGUCAAGGGGACGGGCGGGUGGACGGUAUGACUUUGUGAACUGGUCUCCGCACCUUUCCGACAGGAACACCUUCUGCCCCUUGUUGUCUCACGAAAACGUGAGCAAGAUGAAAACUGAGAUAAUUUAGUCGGAGAAAUAUACUCUUCACAUCGAGUAGAACUUGUCAAUGAGUUAGAAGACCUUCAACAGUACGAAUUACGGCUCUUACUUCAUUUAGUUCAAUUCAACGUUUCAAGUAGACUCUCUGGCAGACCUGGACUCUUACGUUGUGUUCUACGGGUUCUCCUACGGUCACAAGGACCUAGUAGACCUCGCUUCGGGUUACGGCUACUAUCACCAUUUAGUAGCAGGCUAUUAUAUUCACUGGACGUUCGACAAAACGUAUCGGAAGGCGUUCGGCUCGAAGCCAACGAUACAAGUAACGAACGCGUACUACCCAAUAGUCUGUUACGUAUAGAGGAACAUCGUCUUCAAGACUUUUUCUAACAUCGAAACCGAGGAAAGUAGACAACGGUAAAGUAUUUACUCGAAAGUGCAAGCUACGUUUUAAACUGACAAACACGGUACUUACUCGAAGUGAACAUACUUCUAAGACUUUUCCGUUAAGACUCGUGUAGUAGUCGGUUGCCGUACCGUCAAGAUUCUCAACACGUCCGGAACUCAAGAGAACAGUGUAGAGACGUUCUCUCUUUUCUAGGUCUCGAAGAACGUCUCUUCCUGGUAAGUCUACGUGACAGGGUCUAAAGACUAUAAUUGUGUCGUAACCUACGCAACACCAACCUCGAUUCGUUGACGUAUUCGUUUUAUCUCUCGAGAAGUCUAAUAUGUAGUUUAAACUCAGGUUGAAGACGUUUACGUUGAUCUCAUAGUUGACCACAUCGUGGAGGGAACGGUCGACCUUGGGUCUUAUAUAAUGGCAUGUAUCUUAGGAAAAAACACUGUACGCUCUUCAAUGCAGGUCCUGUUGGACUACGACAAGUUCUCGGAAGUUGUAGACUAUACCUCCUACGAAGUUGUAGAUCAUCACCCGUUUUUAGUAGACGUUCGGUAUGGUCAGAACUACUCUUCGUGUGACGAAAACAAUUUAAGAGCCUCUUUGUGUCUUCUAACAAUUUACGAAAAUAGGCUGUUUUGAGACCCAACGAUCUUUUUAGAAAGAGAGACUACAACUUCCAGGGGGCGAACUAACUAAAACUGUUGUUUGCACGUAUAAAGGCCAGAUUUUAAUUCGUAGUCGUACUGGUAGUAGUGUCAGGACAAUCUUAAAGACAGGCUGCCCGCAUGUAAAACCUUCUGAGGAUGUUAGUCGAAUCCUACGCGAGUGGGGUCCUGAACUUCCCAUCUGAGUGACAAGUAAAGGUUCCUCUUCUUCCGUAACUACGGCCACCUGAGUGUUCUCUCACCAUAGUCAAUGAUAGUGCUCAAUAAAAACUGUUCCCACGGGAAGAUAAGUGCUGACAACCUUUACUGAACUGUAAAGUUGGUUUGGGAUUGAGACACAUAGUCUGACUUGUGGAGAGUAUAAAGUUUAAACAACCUGCUCACCAACCUUUUCGAGAGAAACUACGGGUUGAAAACCUACAGGUAAAGUGAUCUAGAAAGAUGUUCGUGUAUGAACCACGGUUCCAAUGAAUGGUACUAUAACUUCGGUAACUAGGACGAAUGAUGUCUUUGGAAUUCACCUACGAACUCUUACUGUAUUCACUACAGGACCUGGAGUGUAAAUCGUACCUACGUCUACUUCUCUUCGACUAUAAUAUACUCUUUCGACUCCAUUGACUAACACUCAACUAAGGACCUCCCGCAUUGUAAUCCCAGUGACUCCUCUUGUUCGUACUUAUACACCUAUCCCAUCGUCUCGUAGCAAAUUGGUGACGUUAAUCCGGAGUCUAAUUACGAAAGUACCUUCCUAAAUUACUCGAGUAAGGAGCGCUCGAUUAUAGGUAAAAAUUACUGUUUCUCAAACUUGACGAUUAGUCACCUGAGGGACUAUAACUGAACCUGCUGGAUUUCCGUUUAUGGCUCAUAAGACCGAUGUCGUAUCGAAGAGGUCAAUAAGUUACCAAGACCCUUUAACAUGUUCCAAAGUCGUUCCUCCUGUUUCGAGCUAAAGAGGUCAAGCAAUGACCGUGAAGUUUCCAUGGAAACCUCCCAAAGUCACGCGAGGUUCCUUAUAGACCCGGUGUUUCCAAGGUCUAUGUGUUCCGUAUGCCGUCGUGGUUGGUAGACGGGAGUCGAGUAUGAACGAAAUUGGUUGACCUGAACGGACUUAUGUGUAGGUUUCUGGUCGACGUUCUCUCCAACGAUAAUCGAUAAGUACUCCGUUUACUUCCCAAACCUAAACCAAUUAGUCAGUAAGGGCGUGAACACGUAAGCGACGACCCAUAAACAUGUCUAUCAUGCCCUCAACGUUAUCCGUUCACCCUUACACACGCACGAACAAGGUCUCAGACGAUCUAGGGUGAUAAACCGUUGUACUUCGUAGUCGGAAUCCGUGAUGGUCCUCCAAGAGCUAUAAACAACCCUUUACCGGCUCUAGAUGGUCUUAGUAACGUAACGUUUGUUCAAUGACGUUUCUUACACGUCACUCACCCUCAAAUUUGUCUGUGGUUGAUAAACUACAAGUAUUAUAACAAAAAGAAAUACCAGUCGAAACUGGCAACGGGACAAUUUUACGGUAGAACAAAUGUAACCUAAAUCGACCUUCUAGAAAACUUCAGAAAAUAUCUACACGCCUUAUCUGACCACCUUACGUCGUUAUUCUGAUCACGUCAAAAGAGUAUUAGACAAUGAGUAGAGCAGAGAACACGGAGAACAACGUAGACAAUUAGUAAGUUAUGGACGGUUUCCAGUUUGGUGUACUCGUUUUGACAUACCAGACUACCAGUGUCGUUUCUGAAAGUACAGAGAUAGGAACACUCCUGUAGGGAAGCAUGUCACGGGACUUAAGGUCGUCAUUUUCUCCUAUGCUCAGCACUGAAAUUAAACACUUGUUGAAUAUAGUAUCUUGUUGAAUA
rnacentral:rRNA from 1 species